GUUCUGAAUCAGCAGAACUGGACUCCGGAGGGAAAUAUUCUGAGUCAUUUUCAAUGAUUUCACACAUUUCUGGAGGUCAUACUUAAGAUCCGGGACUGCAAAUAAUGUCUCAGAUUCGUUGUCAAAACUAAGUGAUUCGUAGUGGCUGCUUGGAGCCCAGUAUUAGAAGGAUUCUGAACAUCUGCUCAGUGGGAAAGAAUGUCGCCAUUGAUUGGUGCUGUCUGCUGUGCUGCUCAAUUGGUGCUGUCUGCCUUGCCUGCAGGAUGGGCUGUGGUGACGCACAUGCUAGAUAUUUGCUAACACUACAGGGAAGUUAACCCAAAAUCCUAAGGUUUGUGUUCUUUUUAAAAAAUCAAGCUAGUUCUUUUGUUUACUGAACUUUGAACAUGGAAUGCAACCCCACAGUUCAAGAUUGGCCAGUGGUUCUCACCUGGAAGUCAUUUUGCCCCCAGGUUACAUUUGGCAAUGUCCAGAGAUAUUUUUGGAUGUCACAACUCAGGGCUGGCGGGGACUGAGGUGCUAUGGGAACCUAGCAAGACGCUGGAACACACCCUGCAAUGCACGGGACGGCCACCCCUGGCAAAACAGCAGCUUGUCUCCGAUGUGACUAGUGCCACGAUCAUUGAGAAAGCCUCUGCCAGACUUUUAUCUAGAAAUCAAUAAACAGAAAUAUCUUCAUUAAGAUA